rnacentral:rRNA from 1 species
ACUCCUACGGGAGGCAGCAGUGGGAAUAUUGCACAAUGGGCGCAAGCCUGAUGCAGCCAUGCCGCGUGUGUGAAGAAGGCCUUCGGUUGUAAGCACUUUCAGUCGUGAGGAAGGUAGUGUAGUUAUAGCUGCAUUAUUUGACGUUAGCGACAGAAGAAGCACCGGCUAACUCCGUGCCAGCAGCCGCGGUAAUACGGAGGGUGCGAGCGUUAAUCGGAAUUACUGGGCGUAAAGCGCAUGCAGGUGGUUUGUUAAGUCAGAUGUGAAAGCCCGGGCUCAAGCCUC